GUGUAACACGCACAUAAAAAUUUGAUUUUUAAAGAGAUAAAUUUAUC
rnacentral:tRNA from 1 species